CAGAAUGUUUAUCAAUGUUUCAUUUAUAACGUUUCCAAAGCAACUCUAACCAGGUGUGUUUUAAGUCUGGAUUUGAAGGAACUCAGCGUUUCAGCUGUUUUGCAGUUUUCAGGAAGUUUGUUCCAGAUUUGUGGUGAAUAGAAGCUGAA